UUUUGUCAUUUAUUUUCUUUUAAGCUAGUAUGUAGCUUUUAAGCAACUAACCCCGAAUGGGAAGAUCUGAAAAGAGAUCUCUGACUUGUUUUGGAGAAUUUGUUGCAAUUGCUUCCUCUAGAGUCAUAUCCCAAUUAUGAUCAUAUUCAUCACUAAAAAUCAUGUAAAAAAAUCGCC